AUGUCCGUGUGCUCUGGCUUCACCGGGAGCAGCCCCGACUCGGUCUUCGGCUGGACCAGGCGGAGGGAGCGCGGGGAGAGAUGGGAACCCUCAUUGAUGACGAGGACGCCGCCGCGGGUGCAGCGCCAGAGCGGCGGCUGGACGGGGCGGAAAGCCGGCGAGCCGGGGGAGAGCGAGCCGGAGCCCGACGACGAUGACAUCCCCGGCUCCAUUCGGCGCGGUGUCCAGGAGCUGCCACCCCGCUGUACAGCACUAGAGCUAAGCUGGGAGAAAUCAAGUUUCCUUGACAUGGAAACAGAUAAACAGUUUAUGCAAGAGCAGCAGAGAGCUGUAGAAAGGAAAUUUGCAAAGGCAAGCUCUCUGAUGGCUCUGGCCUUAGCAGAGCAACACAACUACCCGCAGCUCAUGGUGAAGUGCGUUGAGUUCAUCGUUAGCACUCCUGCAAUUCUUGAUGCUGUGUUGGCGACAGACGGAUAUAAGCAUCUGGUGGCAAGCUGUCCUAUGGUGUUGCCCGAGCUUCUCAAGUCUGCACGGGGCAUAUCAAGGGUAACCAUAAGAUGA
rnacentral:rRNA from 1 species